GUUUGUGUUGCACUUUCAUCUCCUUCCCCCCAAUUUAUGUGUGGCCAUCUGGUUAUGUAUUCUGAUGAAUGAGCACUAUGUGUCUAUGUUGUUUUUUUUUUCUUUACGGUUUGUAGAAGAAAUUCAUUGCUACUGAUUUCUGCCUCGUGUUUUACAGGUAAUAAACGAGACAGUCUGGUUGGCCAACAUUGCGCCAAACAUUUCUAGGAAGACGCUGCAAGAUGUUCAGUUCAACGGUUGUGUUGUUUUAACGGAGCAGCAAAAAAUCAAGUUGAUAAUGUGUUGAUAUAUGUUACUACUGGAAUAUCAUCUCUCAUGUAUUAGCUUAUUGGUGAUUCCUAGAUGACAGUGUAAAUAUGAACAAAGAUGCAACCUUGACAAUAUUGCAUAAGAGAUUCAGUUGGAACUCCGCAAAAGAAGGAUUUAGCUGGGAUUUAUGAGCACUGAUGUUAGUAUUGUAUAAAAUUGAAGUGGUCUUGACAUUCUGGAUAUUUUGGGACAUUUGAGUCGGGAGAAUAUGCUUCUAGAGGAUGCAGGAGUUUUUUCUCGAAUGAUGUGAAUAAGUUACAUGAGCUUCAGGUACAGUCAGAUUUUUUACGAGAUAUCACACGGUAUUAUACUUUUCACAUUAUUACAGUGGCGCCAUCGAUAGUACACAUGACAAUCUCUAAUACUAUGAAGAGGGAGAUUCAUCAUCUGUCCUGCGCUGCGACCCAUGAUCCGCACUUUAGUCAGCACGGGACAUCAUUGAGGUGUGGAAGGGUUAGGUGGAAGAGGACAACCUCGCCACCAUACCAAGGCCGUCAGCGAGGCCAUGGCUAUGAUGCUGCACUUGCAGAGGGAGAAGGCCCAUGUGUUUGUUUCAGCGAAGGAAUCAACAUGAUAUUCGACGCCGAAGAGAAGGGUUUGAGAUUCACCACAUCUUCUCUCUGCCCGUCUACAUGCCUCAUAUGCUCAGAGUGUUCUUUGCUCAUAGAAGGUUAUAUCAU